GUUUUAAUAAUUUAACAAAAAUAUUGGUCUUGUAAACCAAAAAUGAGAAUAAUCUCUUAAGACU
rnacentral:tRNA from 1 species